CUAAGGCUCCAGAGGAAGCCACGGCUAACUCUGUGCCAGCAGCCGCGGUAAUACAGAGGCGGCGAGCGUUGUUCGGAAUUAUUGGGCGUAAAGAGCACGUAGGCGGCCUUGCAAGUCAGUUGUGAAAGCCUUCCGCUUAACGGAAGAAUGCCUGCUGAUACUACAGGGCUUGAGUACGGGAGGGGAGAGUGGAACUUCUGGUGGAGCGGUGAAAUGCGUAGAUAUCAGAAGGAACGCCGGCGGCGAAAGCGACUCUCUGGCCCGAACCUGACGCUGAGUGUGCGAAAGCUAGGGGGGCAAACGGGAUUAGAUACCCCGGUAGUCCUAGCCGUAAA
rnacentral:rRNA from 1 species